rnacentral:ncRNA from 1 species
UGAAAAGCAAUGAUCGGGAAAAGUAAACAAUGCAUGAGCCGAAAGGGAGUCCGCGCCUUGACUGAAAGCGCAGAUGGGUAAAUGAUUGUCGAAGUUCACCCCGUGAGCUGCCGCCAGGACCAGCGUAAGCUGUAAAGGUGUGCCGGUGCCGGACCGUUAUUCCGAUUUGAGUGAUCAUAUCUUCGGGUAUGAUAAUCAGGGUGGUACCGCGAAAUCGUCCUCGUCCCUUUU